CAAAGAAUAUACCCAGUCCAAUUUGCUUGCCAAGGGAAAUACAAACAUUUCCACUUACAGUUUACACAGAAUGUUCUUUUUUUAAAAUCUCCUCAAAUUCCUUUUACCAUGUACGGAAUGUUCUAUAAACACCACACUCCAUUAAGAGAUAGCUGUUGCAUCAGAUACAGCACCUAGACCAGAGAGGACUGCAAUUCCAGAGUGAUCUGUGUUUCAAACCACAAAAUCAUCUAAAACUCAUCAUUAAAAUGAGUCAGAUUUGUGGAAUUAGUAGCCCAAUGGAUACAACUCAUAGAUGAGAUGUUUGCCCAGGUUAGAUAGGGUUCCAAAGAUUGGCUGAACUCCAGCUUCUUUUAACUUGCUGUAAAACCUUGGAGGAGGACAAUGAGAAGGCUAGUGUCUGAGCUGCUAACUUUGAACACCUCUGUACCUGUUAUUGUUCUAAGCACCUUAUAUGUGUCAAUUCACUUAAGCCUUACAGCAGUCCUAUGAAAUAGAUUUAUCUCCAUUUUAUAGAUGAGGCACAGAGGGGUUAAAAAAAACUUGCCCAAGGCUUGGCAUGGUGGCUCAUACCUGUGAUCCUGGCAUUUGGGGCAAUAUAGUGACUCUACGAAAAAAAAAAUUAGCUGGGCAUGGUAGUGUGCCUGUAAUCCCAGCUACUUGGGAGGCUGAAGCAGGAGGAUCACUUGAGCCCAUGAGUUUGAGGCUUCAGUGAGCUAUGUUUGUGCCACUAUACUCUGGCCUGGGUGACAGAGUAAGACCCUGUCUCUAAAAAAAAAAAAAAAAAAUUGUUAGUUAGUGAACCCCAAGGUUCUCUUCAAAAGAAUCAGUACGUCAGUAUGCUCAGCUUUAUUAUUUAAU